UGUGUCUGAUUUGUGGUUCUCAUAAAAUUAUACGAAAUUUACAAUAUUGUAUGUUUACAUGCAAUUUCUCUAUGUGCAUGAACACUUAUGUGGAGGGGGUGGGUCGGGUUUGGGAAGAUCGGUGGAUGUAGAGCCUGAAUCGGAAAUCACGUUGGUAAAAUCAGGUAAUCUUUUUCUAAGAUUUUUCAAUUUUAAUGUGUUUUGGUUUCUAGGUAGUACUUUGUUUUAGUUUUUCUUGUUUCGAAUUCAUGAUCGCUGACUGGUGUUUAUGUGAUAAUUAAAUUAUGUAAAUCUUCAUUUCUGGACUGUUUUUAACUGGGUUUCUUUGGGGGAAGUUUCAAUUUGACUAUAGAAGAUAUUCCCUAAUUUUUUUGCUCAGAUCUGACUCUGAUUUAGGUAAUUUACAUUAGGUUUCUUUUGGGGAAGUUUCAAUGUGCCUAUAGGAUAACGUCAUUAUCAUUGAAUGUGGAAAUUUGUCAAUGUCUUACAGUUAAUUGUGAUGCCCAUGACGAGAUGUGCAUUUUUUUUCCAUUACACUUAUGUGUUUUGUCAAUUAAACUCCAGACCAACUACUACUUAUCACCUAAGUUCCUAAAAUUCGUGUUUGUUAUAUGUUGUAGGAAAUGACCUAUUUUGAGAUAUUUUUUUGCAUCUCUCUUUUAUUCUACAUUCGAAAGAGGUAGAGUCGCAUUAUUGGGACUGUGGAUUGCUUUUUUCAUGUGUUAAUCUGUGUGAAGAUUGAUUGCCAUGCAUGAAGAAAUUAAAAAUGUUACUAAAGUGUCUGGCAAAAGUCAUUAUGUUUCAAUCACGGACGAGUGCAUGUAUACAUAGCAGAAUUACACCAAUUAAUAUGUGGGAGGAAGGAUAUAUAGCAUCUGAUCUGGUAAAGAAAAGGAAUCAUGAUUUAAAAAUUUGGAAGCCAUUACAUACUCAUUCUUGCUGCUCUGUGUAAAUGAUGUCACCUUCAUUUUCAAUAGCUUCUUGGUAGUCUAAAUUUAUAGUUCAUUUUUUCAGCGAUAUCCAAUGUGAUAAUGUAUUUUACUGCUUGAUAUAUUUCUUACUCGUGGUCAUUUUUUAGAGGCUGUCAGAGCAGGGGAUGUCAAUACUGUGUUUUUUGUGGUGGUUGAAGGUUGUUUGGCGUCCGAUGAAUUCAAAUGGUAUUAGGAAUUAUUGGUUUCAUUAUCUGUAUGAAUCAGUUUGUAGAACUAAAUCAUAAAAGCUUGUUUUUGCCCUACCCAUAGUUUAAUUGCCUGAACUACAAGAUAUUGAUAUUUUGGUGGAUUGAUUGGAUGGUAUCUUUAGAAGAUAUACAAAUGCUUUUAUCAAUCUCUGCAAGGAGAAAUGGCUUGAGGGGUUUGCUGGUUUGCAUUAUAGUUAUACUAUGUCUUCUUGGAAUUGUAUAUAAGAUGCACUUUUUUCUUUAAUUAUUCUUACUAAAGACUAAAGAGUACCGGCUUUUGUUUGUGUUUGUCUUUGUUACCAGAGAUUUGGAAGUACCACCAAGCUGGCCUUCCUAUUUGGACGUUCGACGCUUUGAAGAUUUAAGUAUCACCGACAAGCUAGCCUUCCUAUUUUGGACUUAUUUUGUUUUGAAUUCGACUAUAUCUGUUAUGGCUUCUGAUGAGGUGCAAGGCUUGUUGGGGAAAAUGCAUUUGUCCAAAAAUAUGUGCUUUCAAGUUUUAUUGUAUUAGAGAUAAAGUAUGUAACAUUACAUUAUGUUUGUGAGAUUGGGAAUGUGUUGUAGGCCUUUUCAUUUAAAAAAAAUUAAAGUUUUUCAUUUCGUCAAAUUUUUUUUAAUAUUUAAUUCAUGUUGGCACAAUUACAAUAUGAAGUGCCAACAUGUCUGGAAAA
rnacentral:lncRNA from 1 species